AUCUACGUUAAAAGCAUAGCAAUAUGAAUAGUUAAUUCCUUUACUUUACACAAUUGUUGGGUUAAGUUACGCAAAUUUCUGCGAUUGUUAACUUUUUAAAUAUUCAAAUAAUAAAUAUAUUUGAAGGAAUCGGACGUUCUACUGUAUCGUCGCACCUCAUAUUAGAUGUUUUUUCCAUCAUUGCAGUAAUGCUCACGGUAGAGUGUUUGAUUUACGCAAUAAAUUUCACAAGUGACUCAAUUGGAAGAUCCUUAAAAUUGUGGGGUACAUCCCGUCGCUUACGAUUUGCGGAGACGGAGAGUUUUCACAACAAAAAACCUACGUCAUUAUUUACCCAACAUGAGUUUUCCUAUUCAUGCGCAUAUCAAUGAAAUCUAUAUUAUCGUAAAGUCAAUUUCGUACAGCUGUCGUUUUAAUCUUUAGUUUAGAAAAAAGUAGCUAACUCUCUAGCAAGGAAAAUAAAUAUUGAGGUUUAUAACAUGAUUCAACCACUACAUUCGAAAAGCAAAUGAAAAAUUUACGACGGAAGCUAUCGCUCUUUUUUCAAUAAACAAACCCUUUCCUGAAUUGUUGACAAAGUUUAUUAUUAAUUACUAAUAAACAACUAUGAGAAAAGAUGGGGAAACUGCAAAUUAUGCCUAAUGACUGCCGAAUAUCAUGAUAUUACUUCCAUCUUUCCAUUCUGCCGUCUUCUUUUAAGUCUUUUACCUACCGAAUAAUACAUGAUCAAAAUCUUACUAAAAAUAAUGUCGUUUAAUAACUCAUUACAUAUUACAUACCGCAUAAUGCGAAUUGCAAUAUCCGACGGUUAAAAUAUAGACAUUUACGGUAUACAAAUGAAGUUUACCAACUCACUAGACAAUGUAAAAUACACGACGUACUAACUUGCUUUGCUAAUUUUGAUAAAAUGAAGAAUUUCAUGAAAUUUAAAAGUGGAAAACAUUAACAGUAAAAUAU
rnacentral:misc_RNA from 1 species